CACGUAGGGGGCAAGCGUUGUCCGGAUUUAUUGGGCGUAAAGAGCUCGUAGGCGGCUUAGUAAGUCGGGUGUGAAACCUCCAGGCUCAACCUGGAGACGCCACCCGAUACUGCUGUGGCUAGAGUCCGGUAGGGGAGCGUGGAAUUCCUGGUGUAGCGGUGAAAUGCGCAGAUAUCAGGAGGAACACCAGCGGCGAAGGCGGCGCUCUGGGCCAAUACUGACGCUGAGGUGCGAAAGCGUGGGGAGCAAACAGG
rnacentral:rRNA from 1 species